GGAGUGUGCAAAGAGCAGAUGGAGAGCUUGACUCUCACAGAUAAUAGUCCUGAGUCACCAUCAAAGGCUUCCAGGAAGGCUUCCCUGUGGAGUGUGAAUUUCCUAGCAGUUUGCCAUUAUCAGCUCCGUUUCCUGCUUUUGGCACAAUCCUUUGCAUUCACUUCCGAGUUUGCUUCCAUGUUCCUCUGCUGCCUCAGAAAGCUGACUAGGACAUCAUGGAAAGACAAGAGUUCAGGUCUUCUGGAGUCCACAGACUAGCUAGUGGGGUCCUGACAAUGAAGUAGAUUUCUAGAGAAAAAUCAGCCAAGAGAACUCCCUGUACCCUAAAUCUACUAACACUGAGAAGAAAAGAAGAAAAAUAUGCUAGAAGCUUUAAAUGGACUGUAAUUUCAGCUGAAAACACAAUUAAGAGAAAGUGAGCUGAGGCUUCAGCUUCGUUGGGAAUCCAGGACCCAGCAGACUAAAUUUCACAUGGUGUUUUCACAGAAAUCCAUGUUUCACAGACUUUUCCCUGAAAGAUCUGAAAUUUCUCCAGUUCAAUUACCUUCAUUUUCCAAGGUAUAUAUCUACUUACUUCUAGAGGUAUACUUUCUGAACAAGUAUU